AAGCAUAAUAGAAUAAUUAUUUUAUCAUACAGCUAGUAGACCAGAUUGUAUGCUCAUUAUGUGACCGUGUGCAAGACUUCAAUCUAACUUUAAUUAAUUAUAUUUUAUUGAUAACAAAUAAAUCAUAAUCUGAAUUUUGAUAGAAACAAAUGUUUAAGAUAAAUUGAUUAAAACAUAAUUAACAUAUCUUAUUGAUAAUUAUCUUAAGCAAAUAGAAUCUAACUAAAUUGACUUGAACUAUCUUGGUUAAUGAAUCUAUCUCUUUAGUUCAAAUGAUAUGUGCUUGCUUAUAUUUAGGCAAUCUCUUGAGUAAAGUGACUCAACAUGCAACUAUUGUCAUAUCUCAUAUUGAGUCAUCUA
rnacentral:lncRNA from 1 species